CUGCAUGGCUGUCGUCAGCUCGUGUCGUGAGAUGUUGGGUUAAGUCCCGUAACGAGCGCAACCCUUGUCCUUAGUUACCAGCACGUUAUGGUGGGCACUCUAAGGAGACUGCCGGUGACAAACCGGAGGAAGGUGGGGAUGACGUCAAGUCCUCAUGGCCUUUAUGACCAGGGCUACACACGUACUACAAUGGCCGAUACAAAGGGCAGCGACACUGCGAGGUGAAGCCAAUCCCGUAAAAUCGGUCUCAGUCCGGAUUGGAGUCUGCAACUCGACUCCAUGAAGUUGGAAUCGCUAGUAAUCGUGGAUCAGCAUGCCACGGUGAAUACGUUCCCGGGCCUU
rnacentral:rRNA from 1 species